UUGUGUGUGUAAUCUAAUGUUAGAAAUUGUUUUUUCAACUCUUCACAAUAGUUGUGACGGCAGUUUUUAAUUCCACUUACCUCCGGAUUGUCGAUCCAGCGUGCUUCUGCUGCAGCAUUCAACCGAGAUGAAGUGGGAACUACCAAAGCUUCAGUUAUUUUGUUACACUAUGUGGAAUUUCAUGAAGGAGACUGUUCUGAGGAGAUACCAGCGUAACAGAGUUUUACAAGACAGGGCAAGCAGAGGCGUCUCCUGGACUUCCUGAGCUCGAACUUGUGCCAACUCGUGUACUGGAGAACUACAGGUCCCUCCUCCUCUAUUUUGGGUGGGGAGGUGAGAUGAGGAGGGGGUCAACGAGAAAGAGAUGAAGGACAAGAGUUUCUCCAUUCCACCAGUCCUGCUGGUCCUCAGUCUCCCCUGUUCGACCUCAUCACUCAAUCUUCGUUUAGCCCCUGACAUGUUUUAGCCAAGCACUCCUGAGCUAAUUUAUGUCUGUAAAGACAAGCUUGGCAAAGGGGAGCUUCCAGUAAAAGGCCACUGCCUGAGCCAUUGACCCACACUGCGGCAAAGUGGCUAAUUUAAUUUCUUUUAGAUGGGAG